rnacentral:rRNA from 1 species
GACGAACGCUGGCGGCGUGCUUAACACAUGCAAGUCGAACGGAAAGGCCCUGCUUGCAGGGUGCUCGAGUGGCGAACGGGUGAGUAACACGUGGGUGAUCUGCCCCUUACUUUGGGAUAAGCCUGGGAAACUGGGUCUAAUACUGGAUAGGACCAUGCUGUAGGUGGUGUGGUGGAAAGAUUAGUUUCGGUAAGGGAUGAGCUCGCGGCCUAUCAGCUUGUUGGUGGGGUAAUGGCCUACCAAGGCGUCGACGGGUAGCCGGCCUGAGGGGGUGGACGGCCACAUUGGGACUGAGAUACGGCCCAGACUCCUACGGGAGGCAGCAGUGGGGAAUAUUGCACAAUGGGCGCAAGCCUGAUGCAGCGACGCCGCGUGGGGGAUGACGGCCUUCGGGUUGUAAACUCCUUUCAGCCAUGACGAAGCCCUUGUGGUGACGGUAGUGGUAGAAGAAGCACCGGCUAACUACGUG